CCUACGGGUGGCAGCAGUGAGGAAUAUUGGUCAAUGGGCGCGAGCCUGAACCAGCCAAGUAGCGUGAAGGAUGACUGCCCUACGGGUUGUAAACUUCUUUUAUAAAGGAAUAAAGUGAGGCACGUGUGCCUUUUUGUAUGUACUUUGUGAAUAAGGAUCGGCUAACUCCGUGCCAGCAGCCGCGGUAAUACGGUGGAUCCGAGCGUUAUCCGGAUUGAUUGGGUUUAAAGGGGGGGUUGCUGGGUUGUUAAGUCCGUUGUGAAAGUUUGCGGCUCAACCGUAAAAUUGCAGUUGAUACUGGCGGUCGUGAGUACAGUUGAGGUAGGCGGAAUUCGUGGUGUAGCGGUGAAAUGCUUAGAUAUCACGAAGAACUCCGAUUGCGAAGGCAGCUUACUAAACUGCAACUGACAUUGAUGCUCGAAAGUGUGGGUAUCAAACAGGAUUAGAUACCCCAGUAGUC
rnacentral:rRNA from 1 species